GUAAGUCUUUCUUCUUCUUCGUAGUCUUUGCAGCUAUUGAUUUUUCCAAUCGCAGGCCAGAGUUUUACAAUAAGUUCGCAUUUUAAUUCUUCUUCUUUCGCUCCUCCCCUUUAGAGAUCCCACGCUCAUCUUUGAGAAAGAAUUUUGAACUACGAAUUCAGAGUUAUUGCAAAAUCAUUCAAGCCCUUCCCUACCGUGCGUCCUCAUUCAAGAAGAACAAAAUCAUUGCGAUCCACAUUCAAUUGGCUAUGAGAAACGAUGAAGAGUUGAGCAAGCUUUUGAGAGUGAUGACAAUUACGAACGGAGGUGUUCAAUUUUCUGGGAGGCGAAGAAGUUGCUAUGGGAGGAUCGUCUAUUUCAUAAGAACAUGACGGUUCCAAAUGAGGCUAAUAUCGACUUGGCCACUUGAUCUAGAAAUCUGAGAAGGGUCUGCAGCCAAAAGAUUUGAGAUUGCUGCCAAGGUUGUGUAAGGAGGCACACCUCUGAAAGUAAUGAAAGCUUGACAUGUUCUGUUUAGACCAUUGCAGAAGUAGCCAAGAGAAGAGUUUGAGUUAUCCUUUUUGACACAUUCAGUUGUGUCUUCUCUCACAUAUGGCUGUUGAGCAAAAAUUGAAGAGAAGCUACAACUAAUAAUGAUGAUGAUGAUGAAGAAGGAGAAAAUGGGCUUUGGAGAACUCAUUUUGUCUUGGAAAAUCUAAAUAGUUAUUGUUCUAAAUAUGUAUAGAUAUAUUAUUAACAAAGUCAACAAAGAAAGUGAAACUACUUGUGUGAAUGUGAUAAAGGAAGCACUUUAACAUUGUUUUUGGGCAUUAUUUA